rnacentral:rRNA from 1 species
GUGGAUUAGAUACCCUGGUAGUCCACGCCCUAAACGAUGAUAACUCGAUGUUAGCGAUAUACAGUUAGCGUCUUAGCGAAAGCGUUAAGUUAUCCACCUGGGGAGUACGCCCGCAAGGGUGAAACUCAAAGGAAUUGACGGGGGCCCGCACAAGCGGAGGAGCAUGUGGUUUAAUUCGAUGAUACGCGAGGAACCUUACCCGGGCUUGAAAGUUACUGAAUGAUCUAGAGAUAGAUCAGUCCUUCGGGACAGGAAACUAGGUGCUGCAUGGUUGUCGCCAGCU